CAGUAGCCGCGGUAAUACGUAGGGUGCGAGCGUUAAUCGGAAUUACUGGGCGUAAAGCGUGCGCAGGCGGUGAUGUAAGACAGAUGUGAAAUCCCCGGGCUUAACCUGGGAACUGCAUUAGUGACUGCAUCGCUGGAGUGCGGCAGAGGGGGAUGGAAUUCCGCGUGUAGCAGUGAAAUGCGUAGAUAUGCGGAGGAACACCGAUGGCGAAGGCAAUCCCCUGGGCCUGCACUGACGCUCAUGCACGAAAGCGUGGGGAGCAAACAGGAUUAGAUACCCGCGUAGUCCCUGUCUCUUAUAC
rnacentral:rRNA from 1 species